rnacentral:lncRNA from 1 species
AUCACAAUUGAGAAGCUAGCAGGAAGUGAUUGGAGAGGUUGCAAGGCCUUGGAUCCUGGAGUUCUUGAAUCUCCAAUAGUUGAUAUUCAAACUCAAAUUUCAAAUUGAAAUUUCUCAGGUUUUCCUUUAGAAUGAGAGGGUUUCAAUGGGGGAAAAGCUUGCGCGCAAAGUGUUGUUCAAAUGAGCUCAGAAGCUUUCUAUUUAUAGCCAAAGGGAGUGAUAUUUGCACACUUCAAAAUUUGUCCAAAGUUGGCAAUAUGGAUGGCACGAG